rnacentral:rRNA from 1 species
GAUGAACGCUGGCGGCGUGCCUAAUACAUGCAAGUCGAGCGAACAGACGAGGAGCUUGCUCCUCUGACGUUAGCGGCGGACGGGUGAGUAACACGUGGAUAACCUACCUAUAAGACUGGGAUAACUUCGGGAAACCGGAGCUAAUACCGGAUAAUAUAUUGAACCGCAUGGUUCAAUAGUGAAAGACGGUUUUGCUGUCACUUAUAGCUGGAUCCGCGCCGCAUUAGCUAGUUGGUAAGGUAACGGCUUACCAAGGCAACGAUGCGUAGCCGACCUGAGAGGGUGAUCGGCCACACGGGAACGGAGACACGGUCCAGACGCCUACGGGACGCAGCAGUAGGGAAUCUUCCGCAAUGGGCGAAAGCCUGACGGAGCAACGCCGCGUGAGUGAUGAAGGUCUUCGGAUCGUAAAACUCUGUUAUUAGGGAAGAACAAAUGUGUAAGUAACUAUGCACGUCUUGACGGUACCUAAUCAGAAAGCCACGGCUAACUACGUG